GUGUUCACUUUGGCAACAUAUUAAAACUGGAAUAAUACAGAGAAGAUUAGCAUGGCCCCUGAGCAAGGAUAAUAUGCAAAUUUGUGAAGAAUUCCAAAUUUUU
rnacentral:snRNA from 1 species